rnacentral:rRNA from 1 species
AUGUUGUUGAAUCCACCACCUUCAGAAGCUCUGAAAAGAAUGCACAUGCUUGCUUGUAACCCCGGCAUAAUUGCGAUCAUGAACAAGGUUUUUCAGCAUAGAUGGCGAGUGGGAAUCAUGACUGAAGUGGCACCAGUGGGAUAUGUAUGUGUUAGUCCAAAAUGCAUUCUAGGCUUCAAUAAGAACAUAGGAGAGGAGAUGCCCCUUCGCCUACGAACUGAUGAUUUGAAAGGAUUUCGGAAGUACGAAAGUAUCAAGAAAACUCUGCUCCAUGAACUUGCUCAUAUGGUGCACUCUGAGCAUGAUGCCCACUUUUUCGCUCUUAAUAAGCAGUUGAAUGAGGAAGCUGGGUCCUUGGACUGGACCAAAUCAAGUGGACAUGUGCUGAGUGGCCACAAAAUAUCUGAUUCCUAUGAAGAUGCGUUUGAUUUAAACGGAAGCUCGUGUUGUCGGUCACAAGCUUGGGGGCGGAUCGAGUUCACUGGCAAGUGCCUGUGUGUUGCAAGGAGUAGCUGCUUAUCAGCUUCUCUUGAGUGCAUCAUCAACAGAUUUGGGGAGUUCCCACAGUAG